CUUCUUUCGAGGGUUUCCAGCAGCCGGAAUUGCCCAGGACUCUGUCCCCUGGUUUUUCAGGCCAGGAGGAGGGCGGGGCUUCUGUGAGCGCCGCACCUGCUCCGCGGGGCUGAGAGAGAGCAGAGAGAAUGGGGAGCGAGUGCUGUGACUUCCCCGCCCCUCGGUGCCCUCAGAGAGUGGUCUCAGGGUUCCGUCCAGAAGAAGACGGUGUGUGUGAGCUGAGAAACGGCCAGAGUCCCCCAAUCCUUGCUCUGCCCUGGGAGCGGAUGUUCCCGCGGUCUGGGAAAUCUGAUGGGCUUUGUACACAGUCACCACGAGGAGAGGACAGAACGCUACUUGGUGGCGGUGCUGACCCUGACCACGGUGAGCGGGCAGGCUCGUCGCAUCCAGGAGGG
rnacentral:lncRNA from 1 species